GGAGACAGGUGGUGCAUGGUUGUCGUCAGCUCGUGUCGUGAGAUGUUGGGUUAAGUCCCGCAACGAGCGCAACCCUUACCUUCAGUAGCCAGCGAGUAAAGUCGGGCACUCUGGAGGGACUGCCAGGGAUAACCUGGAGGAAGGUGGGGAUGACGUCAAAUCAUCAUGCCCCUUAUGAUUUGGGCUACACACGUGCUACAAUGGCGUAAACAAAGGGAAGCGAAGCCGUGAGGUGAAGCAAAUCCCAAAAAUAACGUCUCAGUUCGGAUUGUAGUCUGCAACUCGACUACAUGAAGCUGGAAUCGCUAGUAAUCGCGAAUCAGAAUGUCGCGGUGAAUACGUUCCCGGGUCUUGUACACACCGCCCGUCACACCAUGGGAGUUGGUAACGCCCGAAGUCAGUGACUCAACCGAAAGGGGAGAGCUGCCGAAGGCGGGACUGAUAACUGGGGUGAAGUCGUAACAAGGUAGCCGUAUCGGAAGGUGCGGCUGGAUCACCUC
rnacentral:rRNA from 1 species